rnacentral:rRNA from 1 species
UACGUAGGGUGCAAGCGUUGUCCGGAAUUAUUGGGCGUAAAGAGCUCGUAGGCGGUUUGUCGCGUCGACUGUGAAAACCCGGGGCUCAACUCCGGGCCUGCAUUCGAUACGGGCAGACUAGAGUUCGGUAGGGGAGACUGGAAUUCCUGGUGUAGCGGUGAAAUGCGCAGAUAUCAGGAGGAACACCGUUGGCGAAGGCGGUUCUCUGGGCAUGACCUGACGCUGAGGAGCGAAAGUGUGGGGAGCGAACAGG